rnacentral:rRNA from 1 species
GAUGAACGCUGGCGGCGUGCCUAAUACAUGCAAGUCGAGCGAACAGACGAGGAGCUUGCUCCUCUGACGUUAGCGGCGGACGGGUGAGUAACACGUGGAUAACCUACCUAUAAGACUGGGAUAACUUCGGGAAACCGGAGCUAAUACCGGAUAAUAUAUUGAACCGCAUGGUUCAAUAGUGAAAGACGGUUUUGCUGUCACUUAUAGAUGGAUCCGCGCCGCAUUAGCUAGUUGGUAAGGUAACGGCUUACCAAGGCAACGAUGCGUAGCCGACCUGAGAGGGUGAUCGGCCACACUGGUACUGAGACACGGUCCAGACUCCUACGGGAGGCAGCAGUAGGGAAUCUUCCGCAAUGGGCGAAAGCCUGACGGAGCAACGCCGCGUGAGUGAUGAAGGUCUUCGGAUCGUAAAACUCUGUUAUUAGGGAAGAACAAAUGUGUAAGUAACUAUGCACGUCUUGACGGUACCUAAUCAGAAAGCCACGGCUAACUACGUG